GUGCUUACUUCGGCAGCACAUAUACUAAAAUUGGAAGGAUGAAGAGAAAAUUAGCAUGGCUCCUGUGCAAGUGUUCCAUGUUUCUCCUCAACCAAAUAAU
rnacentral:snRNA from 1 species